rnacentral:lncRNA from 1 species
GGGAGCUUCUGUUUUGGUUUUCCGUGCAUUAAGGUCCCUACUGUUGGAAGUGAAGACUUUCACCAGGGUAUACAAUGAAAGGGUAUGGUGAAUUUUAAUCUGCUAUGGCUGCCCGUUAAUUUUAGCUCCUUAUAACAGACAAACGAGGAAAAGAAGACAUGAAGGGAUUGUGGGAGUUGAUCAGAACCAUCAGUUAAUUUUUAUCUCUGGAAAAUGUGGUGGCUGUUUAUUCUAUCCUAUGAAAAACCACCCUUGA